rnacentral:rRNA from 1 species
ACUACAAUGGCCGGUACAAAGGGCAGCCACUUAGCGAUAAGGAGCCAAUCCCGUAAAGCCGGUCUCAGUCCGGAUUGGAGUCUGCAACUCGACUCCAUGAAGUUGGAAUCGCUAGUAAUCGCAGAUCAGCACGCUGCGGUGAAUACGUUCCCGGGCCUU